rnacentral:rRNA from 1 species
UACGUAGGGUCCAAGCGUUGUCCGGAAUUAUUGGGCGUAAAGGGCUCGUAGGCGGUUUGUCGCGUCGGGAGUGAAAACACGGGGCUUAACCCCGUGCCUGCUUCCGAUACGGGCAGACUAGAGGUAUGCAGGGGAGAACGGAAUUCCUGGUGUAGCGGUGAAAUGCGCAGAUAUCAGGAGGAACACCGGUGGCGAAGGCGGUUCUCUGGGCAUUACCUGACGCUGAGGAGCGAAAGUGUGGGGAGCGAACAGG